rnacentral:rRNA from 1 species
ACCAGCCCUUGACAUCCCGGUCGCGGACUCCAGAGACGGAGUUCUUCAGUUCGGCUGGACCGGAGACAGGUGCUGCAUGGCUGUCGUCAGCUCGUGUCGUGAGAUGUUGGGUUAAGUCCCGCAACGAGCGCAACCCCCGUCCUUAGUUGCUACCAUUUAGUUGAGCACUCUAAGGAGACUGCCGGUGAUAAGCCGCGAGGAAGGUGGGGAUGACGUCAAGUCCUCAUGGCCCUUACGGGCUGGGCUACACACGUGCUACAAUGGCGGUGACAAUGGGAUGCUAAGGGGCGACCCUUCGCAAAUCUCAAAAAGCCGUCUCAGUUCGGAUUGGGCUCUGCAACUCGAGCCCAUGAAGUUGGAAUCGCUAGUAAUCGUGGAUCAGCAC